rnacentral:lncRNA from 12 species
AUGAAAAACUGGUUGUUGUGUGUGUUUUUUUUUUUUUUUUUUUUUUUUUUUUUUUUUUUUUUUUUUUUUUUUUUUUUUUUUUUUUUUUUUUUUUUUUUUUUUUUUUUUUUUUUUUUUUUUUUUUUUUUUUUUUUUUUUUUUUUUUUUUUUUUUUUUUUUUUUUUUUUUUUUUUUUUUUUUUUUUUUUUUUUUUUUUUUUUUUUUUUUUUUUUUUUUUUUUUUUUUUUUUUUUUUUUUUUUUUUUUUUUUUUUUUUUUUUUUUUUUUUUUUUUUUUUUUUUUUUUUUUUUUUUUUUUUUUUUUUUUUUUUUUUUUUUUUUUUUUUUUUUUUUUUUUUUUUUUUUUUUUUUUUUUUUUUUUUUUUUUUUUUUUUUUUUUUUUUUUUUUUUUUUUUUUUUUUUUUUUUUUUUUUUUUUUUUUUUUUUUUUUUUUUUUUUUUUUUUUUUUUUUUUUUUUUUUUUUUUUUUUUUUUUUUUUUUUUUUUUUUUUUUUUUUUUUUUUUUUUUUUUUUUUUUUUUUUUUUUUUUUUUUUUUUUUUUUUUUUUUUUUUUUUUUUUUUUUUUUUUUUUUUUUUUUUUUUUUUUUUUUUUUUUUUUUUUUUUUUUUUUUUUUUUUUUUUUUUUUUUUUUUUUUUUUUUUUUUUUUUUUUUUUUUUUUUUUUUUUUUUUUUUUUUUUUUUUUUUUUUUUUUUUUUUUUUUUUUUUUUUUUUUUUUUUUUUUUUUUUUUUUUUUUUUUUUUUUUUUUUUUUUUUUUUUUUUUUUUUUUUUUUUUUUUUUUUUUUUUUUUUUUUUUUUUUUUUUUUUUUUUUUUUUUUUUUUUUUUUUUUUUUUUUUUUUUUUUUUUUUUUUUUUUUUUUUUUUUUUUUUUUUUUUUUUUUUUUUUUUUUUUUUUUUUUUUUUUUUUUUUUUUUUUUUUUUUUUUUUUUUUUUUUUUUUUUUUUUUUUUUUUUUUUUUUUUUUUUUUUUUUUUUUUUUUUUUUUUUUUUUUUUUUUUUUUUUUUUUUUUUUUUUUUUUUUUUUUUUUUUUUUUUUUUUUUUUUUUUUUUUUUUUUUUUUUUUUUUUUUUUUUUUUUUUUUUUUUUUUUUUUUUUUUUUUUUUUUUUUUUUUUUUUUUUUUUUUUUUUUUUUUUUUUUUUUUUUUUUUUUUUUUUUUUUUUUUUUUUUUUUUUUUUUUUUUUUUUUUUUUUUUUUUUUUUUUUUUUUUUUUUUUUUUUUUUUUUUUUUUUUUUUUUUUUUUUUUUUUUUUUUUUUUUUUUUUUUUUUUUUUUUUUUUUUUUUUUUUUUUUUUUUUUUUUUUUUUUUUUUUUUUUUUUUUUUUUUUUUUUUUUUUUUUUUUUUUUUUUUUUUUUUUUUUUUUUUUUUUUUUUUUUUUUUUUUUUUUUUUUUUUUUUUUUUUUUUUUUUUUUUUUUUUUUUUUUUUUUUUUUUUUUUUUUUUUUUUUUUUUUUUUUUUUUUUUUUUUUUUUUUUUUUUUUUUUUUUUUUUUUUUUUUUUUUUUUUUUUUUUUUUUUUUUUUUUUUUUUUUUUUUUUUUUUUUUUUUUUUUUUUUGUGUGACUUUCAAUGA